rnacentral:rRNA from 1 species
AGUGAACGCUGGCGGUAGGCCUAACACAUGCAAGUCGAACGGCAGCACAGUAAGAGCUUGCUCUUACGGGUGGCGAGUGGCGGACGGGUGAGGAAUACAUCGGAAUCUACUUUUUCGUGGGGGAUAACGUAGGGAAACUUACGCUAAUACCGCAUACGACCUACGGGUGAAAGCAGGAGAUCUUCGGACCUUGCGUGAUUGAAUGAGCCGAUGUCGGAUUAGCUAGUUGGCGGGGUAAAGGCCCACCAAGGCGACGAUCCGUAGCUGGUCUGAGAGGAUGAUCAGCCACACUGGAACUGAGACACGGUCCAGACUCCUACGGGAGGCAGCAGUGGGGAAUAUUGGACAAUGGGCGCAAGCCUGAUCCAGCCAUACCGCGUGGGUGAAGAAGGCCUUCGGGUUGUAAAGCCCUUUUGUUGGGAAAGAAAAGCAGCAGGUUAAUACCCCGCUGUUCUGACGGUACCCAAAGAAUAAGCACCGGCUAACUUCGUG